GAUGAAGAACGCAGCGAAAUGCGAUAAGUAAUGUGAAUUGCAGAAUUCAGUGAAUCAUCGAAUCUUUGAACGCACAUUGCGCCCGUCAGUAUUCUGGCGGGCAUGCCUGUUCGAGCGUCAUUACGCCCCUCAAGUCCCCUGUGGACUUGAUGUUGGGGAUCGGCGAGGCUGGUUUUCCAGCACAGCCGUCCCUUAAAUUAAUUGGCGGUCUCGCCGUGGCCCUCCUCUGCGCAGUAGUAAAACACUCGCAACAGGAGCCCGGCGCGGUCCACUGCCGUAAAACCCCCCAACUUUUUAUAGUUGACCUCGAAUCAGGUAGGACUACCCGCUGAACUUAAGCAUAUCAAUAAGCGGAGGA
rnacentral:misc_RNA from 1 species